rnacentral:rRNA from 1 species
GAUGAACGCUGGCGGCGUGCCUAAUACAUGCAAGUCGAGCGAACCUCUUCGGAGGUUAGCGGCGGACGGGUGAGUAACACGUGGGCAACCUACCUUGUGGAUGGGGAUAACAUCGAGAAAUCGGUGCUAAUACCGAAUAACACUUUUCUCCACAUGGAGAAAAGUUAAAAGUUGGCUUUUGCUAACACUAAAAGAUGGGCACGCGGCGCAUUAGCUAGUUGGUGAGGUAACGGAUCACCAAGGCUACGAUGCGUAGCCGACUGGAGAGGGUGACCGGGCACACUGGGAAAGAGACACGGCCCAGACUCCUACGGGCGGCAGGAGUAGGGAAUCUUCCGCAAUGGACGAAAGUCUGACGGAGCAACGCCGCGUGAGUGAUGAAGGCCUUCGGGUCGUAAAACUCUGUUGUUAGGGAAGAAUAAGUACCGUUCGAAUAGGGCGGUACCGUGACGGUACCUAACCAGAAAACCACGGCCAACUACGUGCCAGCCGCCGCCGUAA